CGCGUAGCAAUACGCGAGUGGCGCACGGGUGAGUAACACAUGGGAAUCAACCCUGAGGUUCGGAAUAACCGCGGGAAACUGCGGCUAAUACCGGAUGUCCCCUACGGGGGAAAGAUUUAUCGCCUUGGGACGAGCCCGCGUCCGAUUAGCUAGUUGGUGAGGUAAUGGCUCACCAAGGCUACGAUCGGUAGCUGGUCUGAGAGGAUGACCAGCCACACUGGAACUGAGAUACGGUCCAGACUCCUACGGGAGGCAGCAGUGGGGAAUAUUGGGCAAUGGAGGCAACUCUGACCCAGCCAUGCCGCGUGGGUGACGAAGGUCUUCGGAUUGUAAAGCCCUUUCGGCGGAGACGAUGAUGACGGUAUCCGCAGAAGAAGCCCCGGCUAACUUCGUGCCAGCAGCCGCGGUAAUACGAAGGGGGCUAGCGUUGUUCGGAAUUACUGGGCGUAAAGGGCGUGUAGGCGGUCCGCUAAGUCAGGUGUGAAAGGCCUGGGCUCAACCCAGGAAAUGCGCCUGAGACUGACGGACUUGAGUCCGGGAGAGGAUGGUGGAACUCCCAGUGUAGAGGUGAAAUUCGUAGAUAUUGGGAAGAACACCCGUGGCGAAGGCGGCCAUCUGGACCGGUACUGACGCUAAGGCGCGACAGCGUGGGGA
rnacentral:rRNA from 1 species